rnacentral:rRNA from 1 species
AUCUAAGUACCCCGAGGAAAAGAAAUCAACCGAGAUUCCCCCAGUAGCGGCGAGCGAACGGGGAGGAGCCCAGAGCCUGAAUCAGCAUGUGUGUUAGUGGAAGCGUCUGGAAAGGCGCGCGAUACAGGGUGACAGCCCCGUACACAAAAGCGCAUGUGCUGUGAGCUCGAUGAGUAGGGCGGGACACGUGGUAUCCUGUCUGAAUAUGGGGGGACCAUCCUCCAAGGCUAAAUACUCCUGACUGACCGAUAGUGAACCAGUACCGUGAGGGAAAGGCGAAAAGAACCCCGGCGAGGGGAGUGAAAAAGAACCUGAAACCGUGUACGUACAAGCAGUGGGAGCACCCUUUGGGGUGUGACUGCGUACCUUUUGUAUAAUGGGUCAGCGACUUAUAUUCUGUAGCAAGGUUAACCGAAUAGGGGAGCCGGAGGGAAACCGAGUCUUAAUUGGGCGUUAAGUUGCAGGGUAUAGACCCGAAACCCGGUGAUCUAGCCAUGGGCAGGUUGAAGGUUGGGUAACACUAACUGGAGGACCGAACCGACUAAUGUUGAAAAAUUAGCGGAUGACCUGUGGCUGGGGGUGAAAGGCCAAUCAAACCGGGAGAUAGCUGGUUCUCCCCGAAAGCUAUUUAGGUAGCGCCUCGUGAAUUCAUCUCCGGGGGUAGAGCACUGUUUCGGCUAGGGGGCCAUCCCGGCUUACCAACCCGAUGCAAACUGCGAAUACCGGAGAAUGUUAUCACGGGAGACACACGGCGGGUGCUAACGUCCGUCGUGAAGAGGGAAACAACCCAGACCGCCAGCUAAGGUCCCAAAGUCAUGGUUAAGUGGGAAACGAUGUGGGAAGGCCCAGACAGCCAGGAUGUUGGCUUAGAAGCAGCCAUCAUUUAAAGAAAGCGUAAUAGCUCACUGGUCGAGUCGGCCUGCGCGGAAGAUGUAACGGGGCUAAACCAUGCACCGAAGCUGCGGCAGCGACACUCAGGUGUUGUUGGGUAGGGGAGCGUUCUGUAAGCCUGUGAAGGUGGCCUGUGAGGGUUGCUGGAGGUAUCAGAAGUGCGAAUGCUGACAUAAGUAACGAUAAAGCGGGUGAAAAGCCCGCUCGCCGGAAGACCAAGGGUUCCUGUCCAACGUUAAUCGGGGCAGGGUGAGUCGACCCCUAAGGCGAGGCCGAAAGGCGUAGUCGAUGGGAAACGGGUUAAUAUUCCCGUACUUGGUGUUACUGCGAAGGGGGGACGGAGAAGGCUAUGUUGGCCGGGCGACGGUUGUCCCGGUUUAAGCGUGUAGGUGUGUGUUCCAGGUAAAUCCGGUUCACUUUAACACUGAGGCGUGACGACGAGGCACUACGGUGCUGAAGCAACAAAUGCCCUGCUUCCAGGAAAAGCCUCUAAGCAUCAGGUAACAUCAAAUCGUACCCCAAACCGACACAGGUGGUCAGGUAGAGAAUACCAAGGCGCUUGAGAGAACUCGGGUGAAGGAACUAGGCAAAAUGGUGCCGUAACU